GUCUACGGCCAUACCACUACCACCCUGAAAGCACGCAAUCUCGUCUGAUCUUGGAAGCUAAGCAGGGUCAGGCCUGGUUAGUACUUGGAUGGGAGAAACAAUCAAUUAUUCACU
rnacentral:rRNA from 1 species